rnacentral:rRNA from 3 species
UACGUAGGGUGCGAGCGUUAAUCGGAAUUACUGGGCGUAAAGCGUGCGCAGGCGGCGCCGCAAGUCAGGCGUGAAAUCCCCGAGCUUAACUUGGGAAUGGCGCUUGAAACUACGGUGCUGGAGUGUGGCAGAGGGAGGUGGAAUUCCACGUGUAGCGGUGAAAUGCGUAGAGAUGUGGAGGAACACCGAUGGCGAAGGCAGCCUCCUGGGCCAACACUGACGCUCAUGCACGAAAGCGUGGGGAGCAAACAGG